UAUUUUAAAGAGAGUUUGAUCCUGGCUCAGGACGAACGCUGGCGGCGUGCCUAAUACAUGCAAGUCGAACGAACGGAGGAAGAGCUUGCUCUUCCAAAGUUAGUGGCGGACGGGGGAGUAACACGUGGGCAACCUGCCUGUAAGUUGGGGAUAACUCCGGGAAACCGGGGCUAAUACCGAAUGAUAGAAUGUGGCGCAUGCCACGCUUUUGAAAGAUGG
rnacentral:rRNA from 1 species